rnacentral:sRNA from 1 species
UUUUUAAACUAAACGACACACACAUUCCGACACAAUAGUCUGGGUGCCUUUUAGGUCGAAAUAUGACUUGAUUGGUUGAUUAUUGGGGGAUGUGGAGGCUUAAC